GCGCUACCGGAUGGGCCCGCGCCCGAUUAGCUAGUUGGUGAGGUAACGGCUCACCAAGGCGACGAUCGGUAACCGGCCUGAGAGGGCGAUCGGUCACACCGGAACUGAGACACGGUCCGG
rnacentral:rRNA from 1 species